rnacentral:rRNA from 1 species
AUGAACGCUGGCGGCGUGCCUAAUACAUGCAAGUCGAGCGAACAGAUGAGGAGCUUGCUCCUCUGACGUUAGCGGCGGACGGGUGAGUAACACGUGGAUAACCUACCUAUAAGACUGGGAUAACUUCGGGAAACCGGAGCUAAUACCGGAUAAUAUAUUGAACCGCAUGGUUCAAUAGUGAAAGACGGUUUUGCUGUCACUUAUAGAUGGAUCCGCGCCGCAUUAGCUAGUUGGUAGGUAACGGCUUACCAAGGCAACGAUGCGUAGCCGACCUGAGAGGGUGAUCGGCCACACUGGAACUGAGACACGGUCCAGCCUCCUACGGGAGGCAGCAGUAGGGAAUCUUCCGCAAUGGGCGAAAGCCUGACGGAGCAACGCCGCGUGAGUGAUGAAGGUCUUCGGAUCGUAAAACUCUGUUAUUAGGGAAGAACAAAUGUGUAAGUAACUAUGCACGUCUUGACGGUACCUAAUCAGAAAGCCACGGCUAACUACGU